rnacentral:tRNA from 1 species
GCCUGGCUGGCUCAGUGGACUCAUAGAGCAUAUGACUCUUGAUCUUGGGGUCGUGAGUUCGAGCCCCAUGUUGGGCA